rfam:Chelydra serpentina T17 snoRNA gene
CCAAUAUAGUCAUCCAUUGAGGUUACUCGUGGCUCUGUCCAAGUGGUAUAUGGGAGCGUAGCCCUAACUGCAAUGAUGUACAAUCCCCUUCCACAGUGUUGAAGAGUAAGCCUGUCUUUGGUUCUAGAGCUGAUGAGAGCAGCAUCCUUUAUAUUCCUAUAACUUCUCCGUCUCUAGACAAUUACUGAGGAGAAACCUUGCAGGGUGUAAGA